CGCCCGGGGGAUGCCGGUUCGCCCCCCCUCGGGCCUGGAAGGCGCGAGGCACUCCUCCACCUCGCGGAGGCGGAGGCGGGUAGGAGGAACUCCAAGAGACUGAAUUUCUUUUACUUCAUGCUCUUCAAAGACAUGUGAAUCAACAAACUGCUCCACACUAGACUCUAAGCUUCAAGAGGCAGGGUCACAUCUGCUCUAUUGACUGCUCACCCCAAGUGACCCAGACCAAGACUCAAGUCCUGGAGGAGGAUGAACUCGAGCGCCACUUGAAUAAAUUAAUGAAUUGCUCCACUCCCAGCCAGAGCUGAGGGGAAAAGGACAAAACAAGGUAGGACUUCUCCCAGAACAGAUGGAUGAAAUCUGAUAGCAAACUGGGACCAAAGGCAGCCCCAACUCCUUUGGUUAAAGCUUCUGGACCAGAAUGCCAGGGUCCUGUGGCAGCUUCUGUCCUAAUGUCUUGGUUUGGGAGCAGGGAUCUGCACUCUUGGACUCUUGCAGAACCUGAUGUCAAAAGACCGGAGCCCUCUGAACUCCCUCAAGUCGCCCACAAAGCCCCUUUGCGGAUGCCCCCCAGCCUCCUCUCCCUCCCUCCCACUUCACUUUUCUCCAGCACCUCCCUCUCCUAACUUCCCAUGGGGACAGAGUAUCUGGGAAUGAGACUUCCUCAAUGAGGCCUCAGAGAAGGGCCCCUCUAAGGGUGAUGACAGGUAGGACAGACAGGCAGAAAACAUAAUUUGAAGUAUUUUUGUUUUUUUAUAUACAGAAUACAGGAAAGUUUCUGUAAAGUCUAAAACAUUACAAUUACUAUGUACAUCAGUACUAGUUGUGGGGGGAGGGAGGAGAGGAGGGAGCCAGGGAUGGGAGGAGCAGGAGAGAAGUGGCAAGAGAACAAAAAAAGGAGACAAAACAGGUUUACGACAAAAACGUUUUUGCUACAAUAGACAAUUUGAAGAAAACGCUCUACCACAUGUAGUACUGUACACAGUUUUUAAAAACAUUGAAAAAAUGUCAUCACUAGAUGUAUUUACACAAAAUCCAAAUACACUUUUCCUUAUUUGAAAUAAAAUAGAUGGACAGCCAGAAAAAGAAUUCAUUUCUCAUUUGUCCAUAAUACACAGUAGCUACCUGUAGUGCAACUGCUGCAGAAAGGGAAAAGAACCCGGAGGGUGGGAACCAUAGGAGGAGGGUGGGUAGCGAUCUUUAUUAAAUAAAACAAUGAUAUUGUAUAGAUUUUGCUGUAUGAAAACUGUAUUUUUUUCUUUUAAUAUAAAACUAUUGUCACUGCCACAAAA